rnacentral:rRNA from 1 species
UACGUAGGGGGCAAGCGUUGUCCGGAAUCAUUGGGCGUAAAGCGCGUGUAGGCAGCCAGAAAAGUCCGCUGUGAAAACUCGAGGCUCAACUUCGAGCUGUCGGUGGAAACUUUCUGGCUAGAGUCCGGAAGAGGAGAAUGGAAUUCCGGGUGUAGCGGUGGAAUGCGUAGAGAUCCGGAAGAACACCGGAGGCGAAGGCGGCUUGCUGGGCUCUGUCUGACGCUGAGGCGCAAAAGCGUGGGGAGCGAACAGG